rnacentral:rRNA from 1 species
UACGUAGGGGGCAAGCGUUGUUCGGAAUUACUGGGCGUAAAGGGCGCGUAGGCGGCACGGCAAGUCAGGAGUGAAAGCCCUGGGCUCAACCCGGGAACUGCUUUUGAAACUGCCGAGCUAGAGUGCGGAAGGGGCAACUGGAAUUCCCGGUGUAGCGGUGAAAUGCGCAGAUAUCGGGAGGAACACCGGUGGCGAAGGCGGUUCUCUGGGCCUGACCUGACGCUGAGGAGCGAAAGCGUGGGGAGCGAACAGG